rnacentral:rRNA from 1 species
GACGAACGCUGGCGGCGUGCUUAACACAUGCCAGUCGAACGGAAAGGCCCUGCUUUUGUGGGGUGCUCGAGUGGCGAACGGGUGAGUAACACGUGAGUAACCUGCCCUUGACUUUGGGAUAACUUCAGGAAACUGGGGCUAAUACCGGAUAGGAGCUCCUGCUGCAUGGUGGGGGUUGGAAAGUUUCGGCGGUUGGGGAUGGACUCGCGGCUUAUCAGCUUGAUGGUGGGGUAGUGGCUUACCAAGGCUUUGACGGGUAGCCGGCCUGAGAGGGUGACCGGCCACCUGGGGACUGCGGUACGGCCCAGACUGCUACGGGAGGCAGCAGGGGGGAAUAUUGCACAAUGGGCGGGAGCCUGAUGCAGCAACGCCGCGUGCGGGAUGACGGCCUUCGGGUUGUAAACCGCUUUCGCCUGUGACGAAGCGUGAGUGACGGUAAUGGGUAAAGAAGCACCGGCUAACUACGUG